GUUCUGUUCGAUCAGGAGAAGGCUCUAAAGAGCCAAAACCCUAGUUCAUCAAUAACAACAAAUUGAAGGGUAAUUUGGAGCUCAAACACGCAACUGAACACGAAUUAACAAUCACCCAAGCUAGGGAAUCGUAAGUUGACGCUUGACAAGCUAGGUGGAGGCUUGGGAAAGAAGCGGGUCAAACGAAUCGAGUACGUGGAAAAAGAGCAUAACCGGAUGCAAUGGUAAAACGACUUAUGGAAAUCUGCGUUACUAUAAACUAGCAAAUUAUUGAAGCAAGGUAUUAAACUGGUCAAUAUGUUGACCCGAGCCAGGUGAAUGUCAAGGAAUUCCCCGAUGAAGAUCAAGCUCAACGAAGGACCGAACACAUGAGAUUAAAGCUUCCGCACGGCGUUACGUCGUAACUUUUGAACGACAAACACAAUUACAUUAUGUUGUACUGCUUUUAAACUGUAAAAGUUUUAGCAAACCCGUAUUUUUUUAUGUAUGUGUAUUUUUAAGUACACAUUUAA